rnacentral:rRNA from 1 species
ACGAACGCUGGCGGCGUGGAUAAGACAUGCAAGUCGAACGAGAGAAUUGCUAGCUUGCUAAUAAUUCUCUAGUGGCGCACGGGUGAGUAACACGUGAGUAACCUGCCCCCGAGAGCGGGAUAGCCCUGGGAAACUGGGAUUAAUACCGCAUAGUAUCGAAAGAUUAAAGCAACAAUGCGCUUGGGGAUGGGCUCGCGGCCUAUUAGUUAGUUGGUGAGGUAACGGCUCACCAAGGCGAUGACGGGUAGCCGGUCUGAGAGGAUGUCCGGCCACACUGGAACUGAGACACGGUCCAGACACCUACGGGUGGCAGCAGUCGAGAAUCAUUCACAAUGGGGGAAACCCUGAUGGUGCGACGCCGCGUGGGGGAAUGAAGGUCUUCGGAUUGUAAACCCCUGUCAUGUGGGAGCAAAUUAAAAAGAUAGUACCACAAGAGGAAGAGACGGCUAACUCUGUGCCAGCAGCCGCGGUAAUACAGAGGUCUCAAGCGUUGUUCGGAAUCACUGGGCGUAAAGCGUGCGUAGGCUGUUUCGUAAGUCGUGUGUGAAAGGCGCGGGCUCAACCCGCGGACGGCACAUGAUACUGCGAGACUAGAGUAAUGGAGGGGGAACCGGAAUUCUCGGUGUAGCAGUGAAAUGCGUAGAUAUCGAGAGGAACACUCGUGGCGAAGGCGGGUUCCUGGACAUUAACUGACGCUGAGGCACGAAGGCCAGGGGAGCGAAAGGGAUUAGAUACCCCUGUAGUCCUGGCAGUAAACGGUGCACGCUUGGUGUGCGGGGAAUCGACCCCCUGCGUGCCGGAGCUAACGCGUUAAGCGUGCCGCCUGGGGAGUACGGUCGCAAGAUUAAAACUCAAAGAAAUUGACGGGGACCCGCACAAGCGGUGGAGUAUGUGGCUUAAUUCGAUGCAACGCGAAGAACCUUACCUGGGCUUGACAUGUAAUGAACAACAUGUGAAAGCAUGCGACUCUUCGGAGGCGUUACACAGGUGCUGCAUGGCCGUCGUCAGCUCGUGUCGUGAGAUGUUUGGUUAAGUCCAGCAACGAGCGCAACCCCUGUUGCCAGUUACCAGCACGUGAAGGUGGGGACUCUGGCGAGACUGCCCAGAUCAACUGGGAGGAAGGUGGGGACGACGUCAGGUCAGUAUGGCCCUUAUGCCCAGGGCUGCACACGUACUACAAUGCCCAGUACAGAGGGGGCCGAAGCCGCGAGGCGGAGGAAAUCCUGAAAACUGGGCCCAGUUCGGACUGUAGGCUGCAACCCGCCUACACGAAGCCGGAAUCGCUAGUAAUGGCGCAUCAGCUACGGCGCCGUGAAUACGUUCCCGGGUCUUGUACACACCGCCCGUCACAUCAUGGAAGCCGGUCGCACCCGAAGUAUCUGAAGCCAACCGCAAGGAGGCAGGGUCCUAAGGUGAGACUGGUAACUGGGAUG